GUACACUCCUACGGGAGGCAGCAGUGGGGAAUAUUGGACAAUGGGCGCAAGCCUGAUCCAGCCAUGCCGCGUGAGUGAUGAAGGCCCUAGGGUUGUAAAGCUCUUUCACCGGUGAAGAUAAUGACGGUAACCGGAGAAGAAGCCCCGGCUAACUUCGUGCCAGCAGCCGCGGUAAUACGAAGGGGGCUAGCGUUGUUCGGAUUUACUGGGCGUAAAGCGCACGUAGGCGGACUAUUAAGUCAGGGGUGAAAUCCCGGGGCUCAACCCCGGAACUGCCUUUGAUACUGGUAGUCUUGAGUUCGAGAGAGGUGAGUGGAAUUCCGAGUGUAGAGGUGAAAUUCGUAGAUAUUCGGAGGAACACCAGUGGCGAAGGCGGCUCACUGGCUCGAUACUGACGCUGAGGUGCGAAAGCGUGGGGAGCAAACAGGAUUAGAAACCCCAGUAGUCCCAUGAU
rnacentral:rRNA from 1 species